AUGGGUGGAGGAGGCUGGGCUAGGGCAGAAGGGAAUAGACUGAGGGGCAGGUGCUGGGGAGGAGGUGUGGGGUGAUGCUGUGCUCUGAGGCUGCUGGAUCUGCUCAGGGGAUCCAUGUCCCUGCUCCUCUGUGUGCUGUGUUGGAUUCCUUGCUGAGUGUCCUGAAGCUCUUUUGCUGCUGAUUUCAGACUGAUCUCAAUGCUGGAGAACUCUCAGGACCUCUCCACACUGGAAGAAUAAGGGUGGUCCAAUCCCCCACUACCACCAGGUGCCUCUGAAACACCUGAAGAUGUGUUCUUCCUUGGCAGACCUAUGGCAAACUGAGUGGGAAGCUGUGACCAGGACAUCCCUGAUCCACCCACUCUGCAGCCCAGGGAGGAAGGACCAGAUGCCAAGCAGCUUGUCAGGCUUCCUCAGCUCAUGCAGCAAGUGAAGACCAGAAGGAGAGACACCUUGGAGCCUUUGGGUGGCAUCACUGCCCACCCAUUCUCCUCUCACCUGUCCUGGAACCCACCUGGAGGAAUCUUGGCUCUGGAAGGCUGAGUGGCAGCCUGAAAGCUGAGAAGUCACCUGGGAGAGAUCUGAA